GCGCUUUGCGGCAGCAAUCGGUGGGUUGAGACGGCCUCGCUCGGCGCUUCAGGGACGUGCGCCGGCCCUCAGCGUAGUUGUAGCAUCAGUCCUCUCCACCCUUUUGGUUUUGUUCUAUUACUCUUUUUUUAAGUCUUCUUUUCUCUCACGUGCGCUUCUUCCGGACUCGUGACUGGCGCUGUAGUGCUGGAUGAGCUUUUGUCGUGUAGCUCAUUCACGAGCAGAACCCAACUGGUUUUGUGUAGUAAACAGAAUCGCGUCGUUCCCUACAGGCUGUUGAUGGGGUUUACAGUCACUGAUGAGGCCUCCUUAGUGCUCAGUAGUACACUGAUUCAGUAGCAUUCAGGCAAUUCUGUAUACCCAUGCAAAUAGCCAGCAACCACUGUAUUUAAAAUCAAGGAGAUCUGCUUGAAUUCAGGGAUCCAGGCUGUGAUAUUUUACUUCUAGAGUUUGGUAUUCGCUAUGCAGAAUUCUCCAGAAGUACAAAAGGAGAAGCCAUCAAGUAGGCAAGGAGUCAAAUCAACUGAAAAUUUUAGCAUUUUGCAUUUUUAAUACCAUUUUAUGUAGUUUCAAGUAUCAAGUGACCUGGACUUCAAUGUGAUAUCAUGAUGUUCAUUCUCUGCUUGGUCCUUGUCAUCUUCUAAGUCAAAUUCACACUUUUUACUUCAAACAGCAAAAUCACCACUGUAAGCUUCAGAAGGCUUUUGUCUUGUACAGUUUUGUCUUGUACAUUUUGAAGAUCAGCGGGAUCCUUCACUGAGAAGUAUGAAGUACAUCAGGAGAGAAGAUCAUGUUCAUCGUGUUCAGCAGCUGAAGAGUUUUCUAAACUCAAUUAGUGCAAGAAUGCUGUGACCAAUGGAAAAAUGUUUGAUGCUUGCCAGAAAGCAAAUCUCCCCAGCUCUUGAAAAUAGCAUUCGGAAAACAAAAGCUCUAAAAGAGUAGCAUCUGGGAAGGUCAAAGAAUGAAGUUUUGAAUAUUCCUGUUCAAAUAUGCCAACAAGAAAUGGAGUGAAGUUACUGAAGCACUAGCACGGGGAUUUGUAAGAGGCAACCAAGUCUUGCUGUGGCCAUAUAAGGCCUUUGGAAAAAGACGUUAUUUUGCUUCUUCAGUAUUGAUUGUAUCUGAAAGAUCCUGUUUUCCUUCUUCUCCUGCACAUGUCUUCCACAGAUCAGAUGGCUAUCUGUUUACACUGAAAAGGGUUUCUGCCCCUACCUUGGCUCUCUGUCUAUCCUGCAUAGUAACAACUGCUAAAGAAAAACAUACACUUCUUGCUGCUCUGUUAAGUAAUUGUUGAUGGGAUCUGUCUUAUUCCAAUUAAAAUGAUAAAUCCCAAGGACAUGGCAGAUUUCCCAUGCUUUAAUAGAGUCUCACUUGCAACAGUUGUGUUCAGUUUGUUGAGCUGGUCAGAGGCUUGUUACUCAAUACUUCUCAGCUUAAAUGAAAGCUGCUUUUGUCUGGGAGCAGGAGCUGGAAUGCUAACACAAGCGGUACCAUGCGAUGCAGUGUGCAGCUUCCUUGGCUUGUAUGUGAUUAGGUGCUGCACUGCUCAGACAAAGAUAUUGUUCUGCUUUAAAUCAAGAUCUGUUUGAAUAAGCACACCUCUCUCAGACACUUCAUCACUCUCUUAUUUCUGAGAAAAAUCCUUAUCAGCCUGUUAUUUCUCUUUUCAUAAGAACUCCAUCUAUCUUCAGUGAAGGAUGAAACAGUUUAUAGGGCAUCUCAGGACCGUGUAUUGUCCCAUCUUUGUUCAGAAUGGUGCAAGCUCCAUUUGCAAAACAUUCCCUGGGAUAAAUAAACAAAAAUCUGGGAAUACUUAAUGCUCUCACUGCACAGCAAGAAAUACAAAUAUUUUACAUAAUAUGAAAAAUAUUUUUUAGUUUUAUUUCAAAGAUAUUAUAUUCAUUAAAAAUAUGGAUAUAUACUUCUGUUUUCAUCCAAAAAGUGGUUUUGACAAGCAUGAUUUUUCACUUUGAAAUGUCCACCAAGAUUUUGUUUAGAGUUUUGGAGAUGUAAGUCCAAGUUUUUAUUGUAACUCUUUUGCUGCUACUGGGAAAAUAUAGAAAAAUAAAUAAAUAAAAAUG
ensembl:lncRNA